GAAUAGAACCUUAUCACCAUGCAGCUCUUGCCUGGUUUCCCACUGAAGCUAAGCAGGGUUGAGCCUGGCCAGUACCUGGAUGGGAGACCUCCUGGGGAAAACAAAGGGUUGCUUCA
rnacentral:rRNA from 1 species